UACGUAGGAGACGAGCGUUGUCCGGAAUUACUGGGCGUAAAGCGCGUGUAGGCGGAUGGGCAAGUCUGCUGUGAAAGCUCCUGGCUUAACCGGGAGUAGUCGGUGGAAACUGCCAAUCUGGAGGACGGUAGAGGUAGGUAGAAUUCCCGGUGUAGUGGUGAAAUGCGUAGAGAUCGGGAGGAAUACCUGUGGCGAAGGCGGCCUACUGGGCCGGACCUGACGCUGAGACGCGAAGGCGUGGGGAGCGAACGGG
rnacentral:rRNA from 1 species